rnacentral:rRNA from 1 species
AUUGAACGCUGGCGGCAGGCCUAACACAUGCAAGUCGAACGAGUGGCGGACGGGUGAGUAAUGUCUGGGAAACUGCCCGAUGGAGGGGGAUAACUACUGGAACCGGUAGCUAAUACCGCAUACCAUCGGAUGUGCCCAGAUGGGAUUAGCUAGUAGGUGGGGUAACGGCUCACCUAGGCGACGAUCCCUAGCUGGUCUAAGAGGAUGACCAGCCACACUGGGACUGAGACACGGGCCAGACUCCUACGGGAGGGAGCAGUGGGGAAUAUUGCACUAUGGGCGCAAGACUGAUGCAGCCAUGCCGCGUGUAUGAAGAAGGCCGUAGGGGUGUAAAGUACUUUCAGCGAGGAGGCGUUACUCGCAGAAGAAGCACCGGCUAACUCCGUGCCAGCAGCCGCGGUAAUAC